GGACGUGGACGAUAACCGAACGUGAACACCGUUACUGUGAGUGGAAUAUACAAAACCUAUUUUCAUAGUUAAUUAUGAUAGUAAUGCAUGUUUGCGAAAUAAGUAUUUUAAAUGUUAUGAUUUAAUGAUUUCUCGAAAUGGAUUUUAUUCACGCAUUGAUGUUAUAUUAAAAUAUUUGGUUAAUGAUUUUUGUAUCGACUUUGAAUAAAGCAUGAUAAUAUUUUAAAGAUAAGAAAAAUGGAUUCAAAUGUGGUAUGAUUUAAAGUAUGGUUAAAAGGUAUGUGAAUAUGAGUAUAAUGAUUGUUUUUAAAAUCAUUAGACAGUACCCUUCCCCUCUAGAUACAAUGAUGCAGAUGAUAUGAAAUGAGAGGCCUUUGGGGCCCGUCUGAACACACAUAGAGGCUUUGGGCCAUGUGUUUGGGCGCUUUUGCCUUUUGGGGGCAUAUGCAUGAGGUAUGAUGAUUACAAAGAUACAGAUAUGAGAUACAGACAGAUAUUGAGAUACAGGCCUUUGGGGCCCGUCUGAGCACACACAGAGGCUUUGGGCCGUGUGCUUGGGCGCUUUUAUCCUUUGGGGACUAGAUUAUGCAUGCACAUAUAUGAUGAGAUAUGAGAUGGUAUUUCCCUGUCUAUCCGUGUAGCUCCAAGGCGUGACGGUACCCAGAUAGUACGUCAUUGCCCGUCCGUUGAGGUCCAGAUAUGAUGAGAUUAUUUCCCUGGGUACUUGUUUGGUGAUGAUUUUCAGAUUUGUGUAUCCUAUAUGAUAUUGUGAUAUGAUUUCCAUGGUUAUUAAUCUGAUUUAAAUGUUAAAUGAUUUAUUACUGGUUUCUCGCAUAUGAUUUGAUGAAAUCGUGUUUGGAAAUGAUAUGAUUAUCUCUUUUAAAGUGCUAUCCACUCACUAAUCUCACUGAGUUUUAAACUCACCCCUUUUUUUAUUAUAUUUCCCCCCCCCUCACCAGGAGGUUGCAGGUACACCAGACCGACCCAGCGAUUGUAAAUAGAUUUUGAGUCUUGGCCACGUGAUGGUGUUAGAAGAUAUAAAUGUUUUUGUUAGGACAUCUUGGUUAUCUCGUCCUGUUGGGAUUGUAUAAUUUUGUUAUAUUAUUCUUUUGGGAUUAAGAAUAAACUGAGAUAUUAAUAUUAGUUAUAAUAUUAUCUUUUGAGACUCUGGAGAUAUAAAACUCAGCAUUUUGGUUGAGGAUGUUGAUCACUGGAGUUUGUUGUAUAUUGAAUUAUAUUGGGAGUGUUAUAUUCAUAUUUGUAGAUUGAGA
rnacentral:lncRNA from 1 species